rnacentral:rRNA from 1 species
AUUCUGACCGUGCAAAGGUAGCGUAAUCACUUGUCUAUUAAUUGUAGACCUGUAUGAAAGGCAAAACGAGGGCCUAUCUGUCUCUUGUAGUAAAUCAAUUAAACUGAUCUCCCAGUCCAAAAGCUGGGAUGCCAACAUAAGACCAGAAGACCCUGUGAAGCUUAAACUAAACUAUUAAAUCCUAUAAUAGCUCCUUUCGGUUGGGGCGACCCUGGAAAAAAAAAGAACUUCCAAACAUACUGACCUUACAGUCACCUACCCUAGGCCAACAAGCCUAACAACGACCCAGCACAGCUGAUAAUUGAACCAAGUUACUCCAGGGAUAACAGCGCUAUCUUCUUCAAGAGCCCAUAUCAAAAAGAAGGUUUACGACCUCGAUGUUGGAUCAGGACAUCCUAAUGGUGCAGCCGCUAUUAAGGGUUCGUUUGUUCAACGAUUAACAGUCCUACGUGAUCUGAGUUCAGACCGGAGAAUC